CAGACUGGUACAGAUUGUAUGUGUCUGUCUGGUACCAUUCCUGAACAGCCACAAAUACCUGGUUUUCAUCUGUACUGAUUAUCUGUAAAUCUUUUGGCAAGGCAUAUUUUGGCAAUUUCAUCUGCACAAAGCCAUUUCGACGGUAGGAUACAUAAUACUUGGUCCGAUUUGCUGAUGUUGUCUGAAGGAAUAUGUAGUCAUCCUGCACAGUCAGGGAAUCCCGAUCAGUGCCACCAGCAAACUGGACUGUCAUUGUCUUAUCAGAACAAUUUUGAAUCUGGCAAGUGAUGUAACGAUAACCUCCACUGGGGUCCUGAAUUUCCAUAUGAACUAAAUCAGGG
rnacentral:lncRNA from 1 species